GGGGGCGCGCGGUGUCUCCGGGCCCCGGGCGGGCGGAGGAGGAAGAUGGCGGCGGCGGCGGAGAGUUUACCGGAACUCUGGUCCUAUGGGGUGUGCGGGGACGGACGGGUGUUCUUCAUCGAUGAUCGGAGCCCGAGCACAACCUGGCUGCACCCCCGGACAGGGGAGCCCGUCAACUCCGGACACAUGAUCCGAUCAGAUCUCCCCCGCGGUUGGGAAGAAGGGUUCACGGAGGAAGGGGCCAGCUUCUUCAUAGAGUGAGUACAUUUCCGUGGC